GAUGAACGCUGGCGGCGUGCCUAACACAUGCAAGUCGAGCGAUCUCUUCGGAAGAGAGCGGCGGACGGGUGAGUAACGCGUGGGUAACCUGCCCUGUACACACGGAUAACAUACCGAAAGGUAUGCUAAUACGGGAUAACAUAAGAAAUUCGCAUGUUUUUCUUAUCAAAGCUCCGGCGGUACAGGAUGGACCCGCGUCUGAUUAGCUAGUUGGUGAGGUAACGGCUCACCAAGGCGACGAUCAGUAGCCGACCUGAGAGGGUGAUCGGCCACAUUGGAACUGAGACACGGUCCAAACUCCUACGGGAGGCAGCAGUGGGGAAUAUUGCACAAUGGGCGAAAGCCUGAUGCAGCAACGCCGCGUGAGCGAUGAAGGCCUUCGGGUCGUAAAGCUCUGUCCUCAAGGAAGAUAAUGACGGUACUUGAGGAGGAAGCCCCGGCUAACUACGUG
rnacentral:rRNA from 1 species